CCUACGGGUGGCAGCAGUGAGGAAUAUUGGUCAAUGGACGAGAGUCUGAACCAGCCAAGUAGCGUGAAGGAUGACUGCCCUAUGGGUUGUAAACUUCUUUUAUAUGGGAAUAAAAUGUUCCACGUGUGGGAUUUUGUAUGUACCAUAUGAAUAAGGAUCGGCUAACUCCGUGCCAGCAGCCGCGGUAAUACGGAGGAUCCGAGCGUUACCCGGAUUUAUUGGGUUUAAAGGGAGCGUAGGUGGAUUGUUAAGUCAGUUGUGAAAGUUUGCGGCUCAACCGUAAAAUUGCAGUUGAAACUGGCAGUCUUGAGUACAGUAGAGGUGGGCGGAAUUCGUGGUGUAGCGGUGAAAUGCUUAGAUAUCACGAAGAACUCCGAUUGCGAAGGCAGUUCACUGGACUGCAACUGACACUGAGGCUCGAAAGUGUGGGUAUCAAACAGGAUUAGAUUCCCCUGUAGUC
rnacentral:rRNA from 1 species